UACAGAGGGUGCGAGCGUUGUCCGGAAUCACUGGGCGUAAAGGGCUCGUAGGCGGCCAACUAAGUCAGACGUGAAAUCCCUCGGCUUAACCGGGGAACCGCGUCUGAUACUGGAUGGCUUGAGUGUGGGAGAGGGAUGCGGAAUUCCAGGUGUAGCGGUGAAAUGCGUAGAUAUCUGGAGGAACACCGGUGGCGAAGGCGGCAUCCUGGACCAAUUCUGACACUGAGGAGCGAAAGCCAGGGGAGCAAACGGG
rnacentral:rRNA from 1 species